CAACGGGAGAGGGGCGUGACUUCGGGCAAGACGGAGCGCGCCUGUUGGUCCGACGUUCUGGGGCGUGCCCCUACGCCUCACGAAGCUCUGUGGUUGGUUGGGAGCGAUAUGUGGCGGAGCUUCUCACGUGGCCCUGGAUCCGCGCGAAGGGCCUGCUGGGGACGCCCGGGAGCCGAAAAUACCGAUGGAGGGCUUCCGAGUGAGAUCAAAAGAAAAGAAAAAAAAAGAGAGAGAGAGAGAAAGAAAAGAAGAGAUAUAACCCCACAUCAAGAGAGCCGUAGGACAGAGGAUCCAGAGUUCAAGGUCACCUCCUAACUUCUUGAGACCCUGUUUCAAACCUUCCCACACCAACCCCAGAAAAGGUAAUGAUUGCAGCUCAAUAGCAGAGCACUUACAGGAGAAGCAAGCUUUUGAUCCUAAUCACCAAAUUACCCAGGUGUCACACAAGUCUAGCACCUCCCAUACUCAGAGUCUUCUGUCUUCAGUUCAUCCUCUCGGAUCACCAACUGAAGAAGGAGAAAGCCUACGGAGUCCUUUGCCAACCGUCCUGCUUUUGCAGUCCUGAACUUGAGAACUUGCGGAGACACCGGCUGUAGGUCUUUUAAGAAGUGGGAAUUUGCAGAAAGCUGUCUACAAAUAUGACUGACAGAUGAUAACUCUGGAAAACGCCACGGAUGCUGCAGGAUUGCUCUGUCCGUUGUGGAGAACUAAGAGGUUUGGGGGCAACAGCAUCUCUUGGGGUGGUCAACAACGUGGGUUCCCCGGAACCACAAAAACCACCCAAAUCCUUGGAUCACAUACAAGGUGUUCCACUUCACAGCCCUCUAACUAAGACGACUCAGAGAGGAGGAGUGCUUCCUGGAUAUGGUGUCUGUAUAAGCUGAGGUCCCCUACCCCCACCCCCCUGCAACUCGACUCUGAUGAAGCCAUGUUUCCUUCUGUUCAGGCUGAUGUUUGGGUUGUGUGGGUCUCAACAGACCUUGGGCAGCCAAAGACCUCUUCCCUGCCUGGACGUUUGUCUGUCCAGUUGAGAAUAAGGGUCUUCAGCUGUGCGCUGGU
rnacentral:lncRNA from 1 species